CCUACGGGAGGCAGCAGUGAGGAAUAUUGGACAAUGGGCGCAAGCCUGAUCCAGCCAUGCCGCGUGCAGGAUGACGGUCCUAUGGAUUGUAAACUGCUUUUAUACGAGAAGAAACACUACUUCGUGAAGUAGCUUGACGGUAUCGUAAGAAUAAGGAUCGGCUAACUCCGUGCCAGCAGCCGCGGUAAUACGGAGGAUCCAAGCGUUAUCCGGGAAUCAUUGGGUUUAAAGGGUCCGUAGGCGGUUUAAUAAGGUCAGUGGUGAAAGCCCAUCGCUCAACGGUGGAACGGCCAUUGAUACUGUUAGACUUGAAUUAUUAGGAAGUAACUAGAAUAUGUAGUGUAGCGGUGAAAUGCUUAGAGAUUACAUGGAAUACCAAUUGCGAAGGCAGGUUACUACUAAUAUAUUGACGCUGAUGGACGAAAGCGUGGGUAGCGAACAGGAUUAGAUACCCUGGUAGUCCACGCCGUAAACGAUGGAUACUAGCUGUUGGAAGCAAUUUCAGUGGCUAAGCGAAAGUGAUAAGUAUCCCACCUGGGGAGUACGUUCGCAAGAAUGAAACUUAAUGAAUUGACGGCUGAGACCCGCCCGAAGGGCACGACAGGGGANAGGG
rnacentral:rRNA from 1 species